rnacentral:lncRNA from 1 species
AAACGCAACGAACAUCGUGCGAAUGCAGCCGAACACGAUCUUUACUCAGCAACCAACCAAUUCAGUCCGUUGAAGGCCGCGGGCGGGGCGGCACGUGUGGUGCGCGCCUCGCGUUCGUCAUUGUUUUUAUAUACCAUUGUUUAAUUCCCUCCGACUGCAAUCGAUACGACAUUCGAGAGUAGAAAUACGGCCUAGCUGCAUUUUCAACGAUCUGAGUGUGAAUCAAAUCAAAAGACAAUAAAAUAGUGUUAUCAGGAUAUCGCACAAAAAGGUGACUUAUUGACAAGUGAAACUCUUUAACGUUCCAUUUAUCCAUGGAUGGUUAUGUUUGGAUGUUUUGUUGAUGAACUGUUUAUUAUGUUCAAGUGAUAUCUGUUGCAAAGGAGUACAAGCAAAUCAAUAAACGGGUUUAUAUUCAGCAAGUAUCUGAGAACUCCUACUGUGCGCUUUAUUACCCCGUUGCAUAUUGAUUGCUUGUUUCUGAAUUUCUGCAAAUUGUCAUUUAGUAUAUAUUGAGAUAAAAAGGCAGCUGAAGCUAAACGAGUUAGGUACUCAAUGAGCAUGAACAUGUCAGAUGUUUUUGAACGCAAAACGGUAACAAGACUUUUGAAAAAUCUGGAAACACGUUACAGCAUACCUGACCGCAGGGACAAGGGGAGCUCAACCAGUUUCGUCACCUGGUAGCACAUACGUACGCACACAGCUGAAACACCUUGAAUGCUCAACUCGUUCCAUUAUUGUUCAAACCAGUAUUUGCCAACUAUCAAAGAAGCUGGUGAAAAUAUCGUUCCAGAAUUAUAUACAACACGUACCAAGUAUUAUAAUUACAUAUGAAACGAAAUGUAAUAACAUAUGUGUUGUCUAAUGUAUGAUAGAUAUUGUUGAAUUAUAAAAGAAAGCAAUCUAUUGCACAAUAAAAAACUAAUAAAUCUUUUGCAUUGCAACC